CGCGAAUAGCUCAUUACAACAGCCAUCGUUUAAUGGAUAUAUUUUUACAUGGAUAACUGUGGUAAUUCUACAGCUAAUACACGCAUCAAAACCCAACCUUACGGUGGGGUGCGUUUGUUACUUCAAACCAAUCGGACUUCGGUCUGAAAUCAAGUGAUAUUGAACAAUUUAGCUGAUCGCACGGUCUGAGAACCGGCGACAUAUCCUUCAAAUGUCUGCCUUAUCAACUUUCGAUGGUAGAUUACGCGCCUACCAUGGUUGUAACGGGUAACGGAGAAUCAGGGUUUGAUUCCGGAGAGGGAGCCUGAGAAACGGCUACCACAUCCAAGGAAGGCAGCAGGC
rnacentral:rRNA from 1 species